UACGGAAGGGGCAAGCGUUGUUCGGAAUCAUUGGGCGUAAAGGGCGCGUAGGUGGUUCUGUAUGUCUACCGUGAAAGCAUACAGCUCAACUGUAUUUUGUCGGUAGAAACUGCAGGACUUGAGGCUGGGAGGGGCUGGUGGAAUUCCCUGUGUAGCGGUGAAAUGCGUAGAGAUGGGGGAGAACACUCGUGGCGAAGGCGGCCAGCUAGACCAGUUCUGACACUGGGGCGCGACAGCGUGGGGAGCAAACAGG
rnacentral:rRNA from 1 species